UGACAACAUCUGCGAAGAGAAGGAAAGAAAAUUGGAUUCUUCGUUAGUGUCGGGGGUACAUAACCGUCGAGCUUGAAUUAUUGAUUCAAUCGAGAUCGGAUCCAAGGUGCCUGACUACACGCCGAUGUCGUUCACUUGCGCGGACCGGUUUGAAAAUGAAAUAAAAGGGAUAGAAAAAAAAAUUUUAUUUAAAAGUAGCAACGGUGAAACUGAUUGGCAGCAAUGAAAUAAAACGGAAACUUUUCUCGAGGUA